UACGUAGGGGCCGAGCGUUGUCCGGAGUUACUGGGCGUAAAGCGCGCGCAGGCGGCUCGUCAAGCCUGACGUGAAAGCCCCCGGCUCAACCGGGGAGGGUCGUCGGGGACUGGCGGGCUUGAGGUCGGCAGGGGUUGGUGGAAUUCCCGGUGUAGUGGUGAAAUGCGUAGAGAUCGGGAGGAAUACCUAUGGCGAAAGCAGGCUUCUGGGCCGUCACUGACGCUGAGCUGCGAAAGCUAGGGGAGCAAACAGG
rnacentral:rRNA from 1 species